AGAGUUUGAUCCUGGCUCAGGAUGAACGCUAGCUACAGGCUUAACACAUGCAAGUCGAGGGGAAACGACAUCGAAAGCUUGCUUUUGAUGGGCGUCGACCGGCGCACGGGUGAGUAACGCGUAUCCAACCUGCCCACCACUUGGGGAUAACCUUGCGAAAGUAAGACUAAUACCCAAUGACGUCUCUAGAAGACAUCUGAAAGAGAUUAAAGAUUUAUCGGUGAUGGAUGGGGAUGCGUCUGAUUAGCUUGGUUGGCGGGGUAACGGCCACCAAGGCGACGAUCGAGUAGGGGUUCUGAGAGGAAGGUCCCCCANAGUUGGAACUGAGACACGGUCCAAACUCCGUACGGGAGCA
rnacentral:rRNA from 1 species